rnacentral:rRNA from 1 species
GACAGAGGCCUCGAGCGUUAGGCGGAAUCACUGGGCUUAAAGCGCGUGUAGGCGGUCCGGUAAGUCCGCUGUGAAAGUCGGGGGCUCAACCCUCGGAUGCCGGUGGAUACUGUCGGGCUUGAGUACGGAAGAGGCGAGUGGAAUUCCUGGUGUAGCGGUGAAAUGCGCAGAUAUCAGGAGGAACACCAAUUGCGAAGGCAGCUCGCUGGGACGUUACUGACGCUGAGACGCGAAAGCGUGGGGAGCAAACAGG